GGGACUGUUUUCUUAUGGUGUCGAGAUUAUUUUGAAAUUCUAGCACCAUACGAAAUCAGUUCU
rnacentral:pre_miRNA from 14 species